GCUCCAUAAAUAACAUCCGAUAAACUAAAAUGUCGUUUCAAAAGAACUGUUAUAUGUAAGUUUAUGAAAUGUAUGAACUUAGAUGCCGGCUAUGGUGUAAUGCUCUUAGGCUGAAGUUAUAUUGUUGGAUGUAAUACUUGAACUAUGGUUUUUAUAUCAAUUGUUAAUAUACUAUGUGUUACAAUCGGCUUUAAAGUUUAAGUUAUUAAUCUUAAACUACAGAGUCGCCACCUACGUUUUUAUUUUAUCCUAAGGAUAAGGGUAAACAUGGGAGAAAAACCUAAUUAAGAGUUUCUAGGUAAGUUGAGAAAUUAGGGUCGAGGGAAGGUGUUAGGCACCCUUGACCCUUCCUUAAGGUAUUCUAAAUGUCUCUAAGGUUUGUGAUAAGGGUUUUAAGGUAAGGUUUAUAGAAGAUUUGGUUUAAAAGAGGACAGUAGGGCAAAGAAUAAGAUUUUUGACCUACCUAAGUUUUAAGGGAAGGAGACUCGUUUCGCUUGCCCGAAUGCCUACGUACCUCCUACCUCCUUAAUGGAGGAUCAGAGUCAACGUAGUUCGUAGUUUUUGUUGGUAUUUUUUAUGGGAUUGUAUGCAUUUACUUGUAUGUUAGAGUUUGCUUUAGAAUUUUUAACGUAGUUUGUAGUUCGCAGUUUAAAUGGUGAAAAUUAAGUUUUGCAUACAAUCCCUUUUUUUGUAUUUAUUUUUUAGUAAUUAAUUAGUGCUUUAGUUAGAUUAGAAUAAUUGUAUUUUGAUUUUUAAGUUAUGUUUUGGAUAUUUGAUCGGUGCGACAUAGAGAGCCGACCAAUUCAUAGACGGUAUGAAAUAGAUAUUCAUCCCAUCGAUUUAUUCAUGGAAUUGUUGAAAUUAAUUUAAUCCACAGAAGAGAAUGAUCGUUUUGACAUAGCGUGCGCUAAGUCUUUGAUCAUUCAAACAAAUGAAAUUUACAUUCACCCAUUUCUAAUCUGUGUUCAUAAAAUAUUGAAUUUAUUAAUGGUUUAUUUUGAAUAAUUUGAUUGGUACGACAUUAGAGUCGACCAAUUCGAAGACGUUGUGAAAUUAUCAUUCACUCGUCGUAUCAUUCGUGGAAGACUGAAUUAAUUUGAAAAAAAAAAGGUAUAUCAGUAGAUGACAAAAACUAAUGUAUAACAUGGGUUCAAAUUUAAGCCUAAGUGUUUGUAGUUCAUAUUACAUUAUUAGUCUUAGAUUUAGUCUUGACCUUUAAAAUUAGAAGUAUGGAAAUAUAUAAAACAAAAACACAAACUAAUGUAUAACAUGGGUUCAAAUUUAAGCCUAAGUGUUUGUAGUUAAUAUGAUAAAAAUAAUAAAAACGAAAAAAAAAAAAAGGUAUAUCAGUAGAUGACAAAAACUAAUGUAUAACAUGGGUUCAAAUCUUCUUUUUUUAAUCAUAUCUCAUUCUAAUGAUAAAGUAAAAUAAAAAGCAAAUUAAAACAAAUAUACAAAGAGGUGAUGUUAUUUCUUUCCAUGUACAGCAAAUGAACUACACAUCUGUUCAUGUGAAAUAUAUCUCAUUAUAAUGAUAAUAUAGUAUUAAAUAAAAGGCGCUGUCUAUGGUGCGCUAUGUGCAUAGGUCUCUCACGUGAGAGACCUUUUUUUCUUUUUCUUUUUUGGUUUCAAAUCAAUGACAGCCACUGGAUAUAAGGUGGAUAUAAGGUGUACCACUAUUACUAUAGAUCUCUCCACACACAAUAAAACACUCAUGUUGAAAUCUCUUUAUUAAAAACAAUUGCUCUCAUUUCUUCUUAUCUUUUCCCCAAUUCAAGCUUUUCUGUCUCAUCUUCCCCAAUUCUUUAACAUUUCCUUUUCCUCAUUUUAUCCAGUUCCUCAUUCCUUCCAUUUCUUCCCCAAUUCCAAGCCGAAACAAGAUAUUAAAAUUUAUUCUAACGAUAUAACACACAAUCUGGUGAGCCUAUUUUUCGUUUUCGUUGUUCUUUGUUCCUUGCUUUUAUCAAAAGAAAAACGAUGGAAACUACACAUAUCGCUUACUUCACCCAAACCCUCUUUUCUAUCAUCUUUUUCUACCCCUUUAUCAUUUUUCAUCUCAAACAAACUUCAAUUUCUGAAAAAACCUAAUUUUUCUCUCAAACUCAAUUCUUCCCUUCAAAAAUCUCAAUUUUUGGGAACAAAUUUAGGUUUGUUUAUUCCAUACUCAAACUCGUCGAUCAUUGAUGCAACACAGUUUUGCAUAUAUUAUCAAAAGAGUGUUACAACAUGUUUAUGUAAUGCAUCCAUUUCUGAGAUUUCUAGUUGAUUCCAUUACAAAUAUUGUGUACAUGGUGGUUGUUUUAGGCUGUGAUGUUAUAUCCUAGAAAUUGAGGUGUUGUACCCAUUUUUUUGAAUUAGUUCUGAUCCUCCUUGAUCUUGUUUUGAAAGUAUUAUUAUUUAUUGUCAUGUUUAAAUCCAAAUCCUAUUAAAUACAUUAAAAUAUUUUCCCUUGUUGAUCAUGUUUUUAUUUAGGCUGUUAUUCUAAGUUCAACCUUCUUGUUUGUAAGAUUGUUUUAUAGUUGGCUGUGAAAUUGAAGUUAGAGGUGUUUACAAAGGUGUUGUCACCAAUAUAAGAAAAUAUGGAGCUUCUCCACAUUUCUGAGUUGUCACAUGAACCAGAACUUGGAAGAAGCUCAAAGGUAUCUCUUUCUAGCACCUAUGUUGUUUGAACUUUGAACUAUAUCCAGGCAUAUCUUGAGGACCACAUAAAUAUAGUUUUUACAACUUCAAACUGUAAAUUUUAGUUUUUGGCCUAUGUAUGUACAAAGAAAAAGUUGCUAAAGGAGCAUGAUGCUAGGAUAUAGACUCAGUAGUCAAUCCAUUCUUGAUCUAGAAGACAAUCACCAAACAUUGACCAACUUAGGUGUUAUCAUCGCCUUGCAGUUGAGUACAAUUUUAGAUUGAAGUAUGAGAGUUUCAAGAGCAAACUGCCUAUGACUUCCCUCUCUUUUGUUCAUGGGAAAAAAGCUCAAACCAUAUCAGUACAAUGAAAUAAACCUUUAGAUUUGCUUAAAUUUCCAUCACCGUUUUGCUGAUCUGGCAUUAUGUCUUAUUAAUACUUACUACUGGUGAAAGAACAAUUUUUGUAUAAAAUUCUCAUUCUUUUGUAUAUUAAAUGAAUCAUCAAUGGUUUGAAUAA